UACGUAGGGUGCGAGCGUUGUCCGGAAUUAUUGGGCGUAAAGAGCUUGUAGGCGGUUUGUCGCGUCUGCCGUGAAAAUCCGGGGCUCAACCCCGGACUUGCGGUGGGUACGGGGCAGACUAGAGUGUGGUAGGGGAGACUGGAAUUCCUGGUGUAGCGGUGAAAUGCGCAGAUAUCAGGAGGAACACCGAUGGCGAAGGCAGGUCUCUGGGCCACUACUGACGUGAGAAGCGAAAGCGUGGGGAGCGAACAGG
rnacentral:rRNA from 1 species